UUGACAACGCGUGCACUCCGGUGCUGAGCGCGCCGUCCGCACCCACCUGACAGCUGCUCACUACGUUUUGUUGGCC
rnacentral:sRNA from 2 species